rnacentral:rRNA from 1 species
UGGGAACCUGCCCCAUGGUACGGAACAACUCCGGGAAACUGGAGCUAAUACCGUAUGCGUCCUGCGGGACAAAGAUUGUAUCGCCACGGGAUGGGCCCGCGUAGGAUUAGCUAGUUGGUGAGGUAAUGGCUCACCAAGGCGACGAUCCGUAGCUGGUCUGAGAGGACGAUCAGCCACACUGGGACUGAGACACGGCCCAGACCUCCGUACGGGGGANCGA